rnacentral:rRNA from 1 species
AGAGUUUGAUCAUGGCUCAGAUUGAACGUUGGCGGCAGGCCUAACACAUGCAAGUCGAGCGGAUGAGAAGAGCUUGCUCUUCGAUUCAGCGGCGGACGGGUGAGUAAUGCCUAGGAAUCUGCCUGGUAGUGGGGGAUAACGUCCGGAAACGGGCGCUAAUACCGCAUACGUCCUACGGGAGAAAGCAGGGGACCUUCGGGCCUUGCGCUAUCAGAUGAGCCUAGGUCGGAUUAGCUAGUUGGCGGGGUAAAGGCCCACCAAGGCGACGAUCCGUAACUGGUCUGAGAGGAUGAUCAGUCACACUGGAACUGAGACACGGUCCAGACUCCUACGGGAGGCAGCAGUGGGGAAUAUUGGACAAUGGGCGAAAGCCUGAUCCAGCCAUGCCGCGUGUGUGAAGAAGGUCUUCGGAUUGUAAAGCACUUUAAGUUGGGAGGAAGGGUUGUAACCUAAUACGUUGCAAUUUUGACGUUACCGACAGAAUAAGCACCGGCUAACUUCGUGCCAGCAGCCGCGGUAAUACGAAGGGUGCAAGCGUUAAUCGGAAUUACUGGGCGUAAAGCGCGCGUAGGUGGUUAGGUAAGUUGGAUGUGAAAGCCCUGUGCUC